rnacentral:rRNA from 1 species
CUCUAGAGUUUGAUCCUGGCCUCAGGAUGAACGCUGGCGGCGUGCCUAAUACAUGCAAGUCGAGCGAAUGGAUUGAGAGCUUGCUCUCAAGAAGUUAGCGGCGGACGGGUGAGUAACACGUGGGUAACCUGCCCAUAAGACUGGGAUAACUCCGGGAAACCGGGGCUAAUACCGGAUAACAUUUUGAACUGCAUGGUUCGAAAUUGAAAGGCGGCUUCGGCUGUCACUUAUGGAUGGACCCGCGUCGCAUUAGCUAGUUGGUGAGGUAACGGCUCACCAAGGCAACGAUGCGUAGCCGACCUGAGAGGGUGAUCGGCCACACUGGGACUGAGACACGGCCCAGACUCCUACGGGAGGCAGCAGUAGGGAAUCUUCCGCAAUGGACGAAAGUCUGACGGAGCAACGCCGCGUGAGUGAUGAAGGCUUUCGGGUCGUAAAACUCUGUUGUUAGGGAAGAACAAGUGCUAGUUGAAUAAGCUGGCACCUGACGUACCUACCCAGACAGGCCAGCAGUU